GCAUUUUCCAUUAGAAUCCAUUCUCACAUGUCUGCUUUAUUGGGUUACGUUAUAGGUGCUAUAGUAAAUGCAAAGCGCAAAGGUAACAUUAUAUAUUGCAGUUGUGUAGUUGAAUUUACUCGAUCUCUGUUUUCAAUACAAGCUAGGUUGCUCCAAAGCGAUGGAGAUUGGAGAUAAACUCUAGCCAAGAUGCUGUAUUGAUGCUUUCAUCUAUGAAUUUGCCAGAUGGCAUUCAGAGGCGACGACCUGCAGUUGAUGAACUAAACAUGCGAUGUAUAUUUGAGGAGAAUGAUGUUGUUUGUGGAAGGACGCUCACUUCCUUCUAGAAGCUAGGAUAUUUCCAAGUUAUUUGAUCUCCAUUUUUCGUUUUUUCUUAUAAACUUGGAGGGAUGUUCAGGCUGAAGUUCAUGGUUUCCAGCAUGAUGGUAGUCUUCACCUGCAAG